rnacentral:SRP_RNA from 1 species
CCGUGCUAGCCGGGGAGGCAGCGGUGCCCUGUACUCACAAUCCGCUAUAGUGAGGGUGAUGUCUGUUCUCGGUACAGCGCUUGACAGCCUGCCCGUGGAAAACGGCGUUGAUGCUUUGGUCUUACGCAAUAGGAGCCUGUGAAUCGUGUCAGGGUCGGAAGGCAGCAGCACUAAGCAGUCUACUUCUGUGUGUUGUAAGGGUGCUGAGGAGGAGUCGUGGAACACGGUAACGUGUUGGGCGUUGUAACAAAAACAGAUGCACGG